AAAAGUCGGACAUGUUCCAUUCUCAAUGGGAUCUUUCGCCAACCUAUUUUGAACCUUGAAAUUUCGAUUACUAUUUGCUAUUGUUGAUAACCGUACCCUAAACCGCAUCAGGUCUCCAAGGUUAACAGCCUAUGGUUAAGUGGAAUAAAGUAGAUGAGGGAAGUCGGCAAAUUCGAUCUGUAACUUUGGAAAAAGGAUUGGCUCUGGACGUCAGUGAUUUAACUUGUUAAGUCACAAUUAUGACAUAUCCAGAACUGGUGUUGACUAGAGGAAUCUGACUGUUUAAUUAAAACAAAGCAUUGUGUAAAGUUGAAAAACUAUACACGCAAUGUGAUUUCUGCCCAGUGCUCUGAAUGUUAUUGUGAUGAGAUUCGCAUAAGCGCGGGUAAACGGCGGGAGUAACUAUGACUCUCUUAAGGUAGCCAAAUGCCUCGUCGUCUAAUUAAUGACGUGCAUGAAUGGAUCAAUGAGAUUCCUACUGUCCCCAACUACUAUCCAGUGAAACCACAGCCAAGGGAACGGGCUUGGCAAUAUAAGCGGGGAAAGAAGACCCUGUUGAGCUUGACUCUAGUUUGAUAUUGUAAAACUACUUGGAAGAUGUAGCAUACGUGGGAGCAUCUAAUGCGACAGUGAAAUACCACGGCUUCUAAUGUGGCUUUGCUCACUCGGAAUUAGUGGAUCUGCUCUGCAGAAACGCGAAACUAAAGUGUAAACGACAUUCACUGAGGACAUUAUCAAAUGGGGAGUUUGGCUGGGGCGGCACAUCUGCUAAACAUCAACGCAGAUGCCCUAAGGUUAACUCAAAGAGAACAGAAAUCUCUUGUAGACCGAAAGGAGAAAAGUUAGCAUUAUUCGGAUUUGUAUCAUCAAUAAGAAUUGCGAAAGCAUGGCCUAUCGAUCCUUUAAGCCCAGAAAGAUUCUGGCUAGAGGUGACGGAAAAGUUACCACAGGGAUAACUGGCUUGUGGCAGCCAAGCGUUCAUAGCGACGUUGCUUUUUGAUCCUUCGAUGUCGGCUCUUCCUAUCAUUGAGUUGCAGAAGUCUCAAAGUGUCGGAUUGUUCACCCGUUAAUAGGGAACGUGAGCUGGGUUUAGACCGUCGUGAGACAGGUUAGUUUUAUCCUACUUAUACACGCAUCAAAAGAGUUAAUCAACUUAGUACGAGAGGAACCGUUGAUUCAAACCGCUGGUUAAGCGUUUGACUGUAAAGUCAAAGACGCAAAGCUACGUUUGAUGGAUAAUGACUGAACGCCUCUAAGUCAAAAUCCUAACUUGUGAAAAGAUGUAUUAGU
rnacentral:rRNA from 1 species